UUUACGGAGAGUUUGAUCCUGGCUCAGGACGAACGCUGGCGGCGUGCUUAACACAUGCAAGUCGAGCGGUAAGGCCUUUCGGGGUACACGAGCGGCGAACGGGUGAGUAACACGUGGGUGAUCUGCCCUGCACUCUGGGAUA
rnacentral:ncRNA from 1 species